rnacentral:lncRNA from 1 species
AUGCCCCUCACUCAAGACCAGGGAGAAGCCCACCUAGCCCCUCCUGCAACCACACAGACCCCAGUGGGAGCCCCAAGGCUGCUACUCUGCACAGGAUGGAGGGCAGGGGUAAAGGCCAUUAGGCGGUGGCAGUAGGCCGUGCCCCUCACCAGAGGCUGAGGUCUGACCCCUUGACCAGCCCAGCUUCAGGGCAUGUGUCCUUUCAUGAGCUGUGAC